CUUGAUGUAUCAGCUGUGCUAUUGGUUGUCAUCAACUAUCGUGCCAAUUGGUUGAAUUUGAAGGCCAAAGGUUGUCUAUUGAUUAAGUAUGGGAGAGCUUUGGUUAUGUUAAACUGGAGCAUUGAAGCUUCAUAUGGAAACAGAUGAGCACCGGAAAAAUGUACCUUGGGAUGCAGGGACACUACUACUUUGCAUUGGCGGCAAUAGGGAUAAUACAUUGCAGUGAAUCUGAGUAU